rnacentral:lncRNA from 10 species
GGCCCUAGUCCUGGCCACAGAGUCUCCUUGCAGCCCAAGACAGAAGCUGAUGAUUCACAGUAGAGAAGAAGUGAAUAUUCCAGUUCAUUUUAUCUUCAAACAGCUAAUUGGAUUAGCUACUAUCACCCGAAUUUUACACCAAGAAAACUGAUGAUCAGAGAAAUAAAGCCAAGUUCCUAGGACCACAAAGUGGGUAAGAGGCAGAGCAGGAUUUAAACCCAGAUUUGUUUGACUUCAAAGCUUAUGCUUUUUCACUAUUUCUCCUCACACCCACUGACCCCACAAUGUCUCAUAAGGGGAUCUGCAAGGCAGCCCUAAAUUCCAAGCAGGACAUGUAACUCCUCAAUGGACAAAUGGACACUGGACCCUGGUUGAAGGAACCUGUUGUUCUUAUGGUGGAGGGCAGAAACCCAAGAGGGCUGGAGCCAAUCCAUCCCUGUUUUCUUUAGACGCUGACUCCUGCUGUCUACCAGAUCCUCGUGGUACAAUGACUGGUGUAGACUGGCUUGUUGAAGUCACUCUCUGGAUCUGAGCAACGCUGGCUGAGCCGUGAUGAAGUAUUCCUAUCCAUCCACUAUGCUUCACAGUGGGAAUCUCUCACUGUUCAUCACCGCUGCCCUAGCAGCCGCAGCUAACAUCUUCUAGUCAAACAACUCUCCUUUUCAAAGGGACCAGGCACAGUUUCUGCUUAUCCCUGAGUAGCAGUGUUCAGUUUCCUGCCAGCCUGUGGAGUUUUUCAAACAAGCCAAUCACCUCCUCCUGUGGGAACUGAGAAGCACCCCACCCUCUCGAUACUACAAAGCCCCUGCUUGUUCCCUAGUGCAACUCCCAUGUGGUCCUGUGGAGCAUAUGGUAUCUUCCUCUUCUGGGCAGUGAGCAUAUGUGACUAAUAAACUAUCUAUCUCAUCUGUUCAGUGCCAGGUGUCAUUUGUUCUGCCAUCCCAUGACCUAGGGUGGGGAUUCCUUCCACACCAACAGGGUGAAUGCAAGGUGAUUAAAACAAGAAGCCUCUUCAGGAUCUAUAUCCUAGGGAAAAAAUUAAACAACAACAACAAAACAAGAAGCUUCAACUCUGACCCUGUAUUCCAGAUGUGUUACAGGGGCCUGUCUCCCCAGAGCCACUCUCCAGGUCAGAGCUUACCUCCCCUUGCUCAGGGUUAGGAGCUCUGGGCAGGAAAAGGACAUCAUGUUAAAA